rnacentral:rRNA from 1 species
UACGAAGGGGGCUAGCGUUGCUCGGAAUCACUGGGCGUAAAGCGCACGUAGGCGGGUCGUUAAGCCAGGGGUGAAAUCCUGGAGCUCAACUCCAGAACUGCCUUUGAUACUGGCGAUCUCGAGUUCGGGAGAGGUGAGUGGAACUGCGAGUGUAGAGGUGAAAUUCGUAGAUAUUCGCAAGAACACCAGUGGCGAAGGCGGCUCACUGGCCCGAUACUGACGCUGAGGUGCGAAAGCGUGGGGAGCAAACAGG